GCCAGGACCGAGCCAGCUCGGACCGAGCGAGCCACGAGCCGGUCCGAAAGACCGCUCGUGCCGUCAGCCCGUCCCAAACACGCCGUCGGAGUAGUAUAGUAAUUUUUGCAUUUGUUUGUAGUACGUGGUUUUGGGGGUCCAUUCAUGCUCGGCAGCAAAGCACUAGGCGCGUAGGCAGGGGUAGAGUAGAGGCCGUAGAGCGGGGUAGUAUCCCAUCUCAUCCCAUCUCAUAUGCCCUGUGUCCGUGUCCGCGGGGAGAUCUGGUUGGUCCCCUACGGCCGCGGGAAGGGUCUGGAUCUGCGCAGCCCCGGCACCAGCCCGGCGUGGGUCAUGCCGUGACUGACACUCACAGGACAGCCUCUCCAUGUCCAUCCGUCCAUCCAUCCAUCAUUGCCAAGUCAUGUGAUCCGCAUAACUCCCCCCCGUAAUGUAAUCGCUUCCCAAAUCACCAAGCCACCUCCCUCCAUGCCACCAGAUGCGGUUUGCAGAUGCAGAUCCCAAUCUCUGCCAUGCCAUGCCCAUGGCACCGCACAGCAGAGCAUGCGGGCGCUAGGACGGCACAAAGCGAAAGCCUGAAACUGCAGUGCACAUGGCCUCGCUGACGCAUGGACGCCGGCCGCCGUACGUGCGUCCUCCAGGCACGCCGCCGCCGCCGCCGCAGGUAAAACGGGAGGAUAAUCUCGAGGUCUUGCAGGGGAAUCAAUCGCAAUCACAAUCACAUGGUGGCUUUUACAGUGCGUGGGGGAUGAUAAUCUCGCUGGCUCGCUGCUAAUAAGCUUUCCGGUGCGUGCGUGCGCGGCCACUUUACUGCCGGCCUGCACCACCGCGAUCUGG
rnacentral:lncRNA from 1 species